GGGCCGGCACUUCCUCCUCGCAUUAGCAUGAACCUUGUGAGGAAUAAAUGACUGAAAAAAUAAACUCGGGUCACAGUUUAUAGCACCUGCAAGAAAA